CUCGUGCUCUGCCUUCUCCAAGGUGCUCCACGCCUUAUUGAUGUCGGAGAUGCUCCUCCCUUCCCCCGGCACGUAGAGUUUGCGGUUGGCCGCCCUCAGUUGGCUUUGGAUGGUGAACAGCAGCACCUCCAGGUUCCCCUUCUCCUGGAACUUGCUGGGCUUCUCCAUGGUGCAGAAGGCGGUGAAGGCCUGGAGCUGCUGCUGCACCCCGGCCAACGAG
rnacentral:lncRNA from 1 species